UACGUAGGGGGCAAGCGUUGUCCGGAUUUAUUGGGCGUAAAGAGCGUGUAGGCGGCCAUACAGGUCCGUUGUGAAAACUGGAGGCUUAACCUCCAGACGUCGAUGGAAACCGUAUGGCUAGAGUCCGGAAGAGGAGAGUGGAAUUCCUGGUGUAGCGGUGAAAUGCGCAGAUAUCAGGAGGAACACCAAUUGCGAAGGCAGCUCGCUGGGACGUUACUGACGCUGAGACGCGAAAGCGUGGGGAGCAAACAGG
rnacentral:rRNA from 1 species